rnacentral:rRNA from 1 species
CCUACGGGAGGCAGCAGUAAGGAAUAUUGGUCAAUGGUGGCAACACUGAACCAGCCAUGCCGCGUGCAGGAUGACGGUUCUAUGAAUUGUAAACUGCUUUUAUACGGGAAAAAACUUUCGAACGUGUUCGAAACUGAUGGUACCGUAAGAAUAAGGAUCGGCUAACUUCGUGCCAGCAGCCGCGGUAAGACGAAGGAUCCAAGCGUUAUCCGGAUUUAUUGGGUUUAAAGGGUGCGUAGGUGGACUUGUAAGUCAGUGGUGAAAGCCCGAUGCUUAACAUCGGAACUGCCAUUGAUACUGCAAGUCUUGAAUAUGUUUGAAGUGGGCGGAAUGUGUCGUGUAGCGGUGAAAUGCUUAGAUAUGACACAGAACACCGAUUGCGAAGGCAGCUCACUAAACCAUUAUUGACACUGAGGCACGAAAGCGUGGGGAGCAAACAGGAUUAGAUACCCUGGUAGUCCACGCCCUAAACGUUGAAUACUCGAUAUGCGCGAUACACUGUACGUGUCCAAGAGAAAUCGUUAAGUAUUCCACCUGGGGAGUACGGCUCGCAAGAGUGAAACUUCAAAGGAAUUGACGG